UACUCUUCCCUGUACAUACGCAGAGUUGC
rnacentral:sRNA from 1 species